UACGUAGGUGGCAAGCGUUGUCCGGAUUUACUGGGCGUAAAGAGCGCGCAGGCGGUCGAUCAAGUCGCGUGUGAAAGCCCCCGGCUCAACUGGGGAGGGUCACGCGAUACUGAUCGACUCGAAGGCAGGAGAGGGAAGUGGAAUUCCCGGUGUAGUGGUAGAAUGCGUAGAUAUCGGGAGGAACACCAGUGGCGAAGGCGACUUCCUGGCCUGUUCUUGACGGCUGAGGCGCGAAAGCUAGGGGAGCAAACGGG
rnacentral:rRNA from 1 species